AACGAACGCUGGCGGCGUGCCUAAUACAUGCAAGUCGAGCGAGAAAGUCUCUUCGGAGAUGAGUAAAGCGGCGCACGGGUGAGUAACACGUGGGCAAUCUGCCCUCGAGUCUGGGAUAACCCGGGGAAACUCGGGCUAAUACCGGAUACGGCUGCGGGGUCUUCGGGCCCUGUGGAGAAAGAUGGCCUCUUCUUGAAAGCCAUCUCUCGAGGAUGAGCCCGCGUCCUAUUAGCUAGUUGGUGGGGUAACGGCUCACCAAGGCAAAGAUGGGUAGCUGGUCUGAGAGGAUGACCGGCCACCCUGGAACUGAGACACGGUCCAGACUCCUACGGGAGGCAGCAGUAGGGAAUUUUGGGCAAUGGGCGAAAGCCUGACCCAGCAACGCCGCGUGUGGGAUGAAGGCCCUCGGGUCGUAAACCACUGUCAGGAGGAAAGAAAAGUCGGCCGGAUAAUACUCGGUCGACCUGACGGUACCUCCAAAGGAAGCACCGGCUAACUCCGUGCCAGCAGCUGCCGUAAAAC
rnacentral:rRNA from 1 species